rnacentral:rRNA from 1 species
UUCCGGUUGAUCCCGCCGGACCCGACUGCUAUCAGAGUGGGACUAAGCCAUGCGAGUCAACGUAGCAAUGCGUGGCAUACGGCUCAGUAACACGUAGUCAACAUGCCCAGGGGACGAGGAUAACCUCGGGAAACUGAGGAUAAACCUCGAUAAGCCAUGAUUUCUGGAAUGAUUCUUGGCUCAAACCUAUAUGGCCCCUGGAUUGGACUGCGGCCGAUCAGGCUGUUGGUGAGGUAAUGGCCCACCAAACCUAUUACCGGUACGGGCUCUGAGAGGAGGAGCCCGGAGAUGGGCACUGAGACAAGGGCCCAGGCCCUAUGGGGCGCAGCAGGCGCGAAACCUCUGCAAUAGGCGAAAGCUUGACAGGGUUACUCUGAGUGGUUUCCGCUAAGGGAAUCUUUUGGCACCUCUAAAAAUGGUGCAGAAUAAGGGGUGGGCAAGUCUGGUGUCAGCCGCCGCGGUAAUACCAGCACCCCGAGUGGUCGGGACGAUUAUUGGGCCUAAAGCAUCCGUAGCCGGUCCUGCAAGUCUUCCGUUAAAUCCAGCUGCUCAACAGAUGGGCUGCGGGAGAUACUACAGGGCUAGGAGGCGGGAGAGGCAAGCGGUACUUUAUGGGUAGGGGUAAAAUCCGCUGAUCCAUAGAAGACCACCAGUGGCGAAGGCGGCUUGCCAGAACGCGCUCGACGGUGAGGGAUGAAAGCUGGGGGAGCAAACCGGAUUAGAUACCCGGGUAGUCCCAG